rnacentral:rRNA from 1 species
GACGAACCGAGCGAACGUUGUUCGGAAUUACUGGGCGUAAAGGGCGCGUAGGCGGCGACCCAAGUCAGAUGUGAAAGUCCUGGGCUUAACCUGGGGACUGCAUUUGAUACUGGGUUGCUUGAAUUCGGGAGAGGAUAGCGGAAUUCCCAGUGUAGAGGUGAAAUUCGUAGAUAUUGGGAAGAACACCGGUGGCGAAGGCGGCUAUCUGGACCGACAUUGACGCUGAGGCGCGAAAGCGUGGGGAGCAAACAGG